CCUACGGGAGGCUGCAGUGGGGAAUAUUGCACAAUGGGGGAAACCCUGAUGCAGCGACGCCGCGUGAGUGAUGAAGUAAUUCGUUACGUAACACUCUAUCAGCAGGGAAGAAAAUGACGGUACCUGAGUAAGAAGCCCCGUCUAACUACGUGCCAGCAGCCGCGGGAAUACGUAGGCGGCAAGCGUUAUCCGGAUUUACUGGGUGUUAUGGGAGCGUAGACGGUGCGCCAAGUCUGGAGUGAAAUGCCGCAGCUUAACUGCGGAACUGCUUUGGAAACUGGCGAACUAGAGUGCGGGAGGGGUAAGCGGAAUGCCUGGUGUAGCGGUGAAAUGCGUAGAUAUUAGGAGGAACACCGGUGGCGAAGGCGGCUUACUGGACCGUAACUGACGUUGAGGCUCGAAAGCGUGGGGAGCAAACAGGAUUAGAUACCCUUGUAGUC
rnacentral:rRNA from 1 species